UACGUAGGGGGCAAGCGUUGUCCGGAAUCAUUGGGCGUAAAGAGCGUGUAGGCGGUUCGGUAAGUCCGCUGUGAAAGUCCAGGGCUCAACCCUGGAAUGCCAGUGGAAACUGCCGAGCUAGAGUCCGGAAGAGGAGAGUGGAAUUCCCGGUGUAGCGGUGAAAUGCGCAGAUAUCGGGAAGAACACCUAUGGCGAAGGCAGCUCUCUGGGACGGUACUGACGCUGAGACGCGAAAGCGUGGGGAGCGAACAGG
rnacentral:rRNA from 1 species